rnacentral:pre_miRNA from 10 species
AGACCCCACGGAGACAAUGGUGCUCUUGGCUGCUCAGUAGUCGGUGUAGGAUCUGUCUGACAGUCUCGCUAACAGCUACAUCUGAUUACUGGGUCACCAAAGGGUGACCACACUGCACCCACAGGAG